rnacentral:rRNA from 1 species
GAUGAACGCUGGCGGCGUGCCUUAUACAUGCAAGUCGAGCGAACGGACGAGAUUCUUGCUUCUCUGAUGUUAGCGGCGGACGGGUGAGUCACCCGUGCGUACCCUACCUAUAGGGAUGGGAUAGCUUCAGGAAACUGAAUCUAACAUCGGACAUUAUUUUGAACGCCAUGGUUCAAAAGUGAAAGAGGUUCUUGCUGUGCCUUAUACGUAGAUCCGCGCUGCAUUAGCUAGUUGGUAAGGUAACGGCUUACCAAGGCAACGAUGCAUAGCCGACCUGAGAGGGUGAUCGGCCACACUGGAACUGAGACACGGUCCAGACUCCUACGGGAGGCAGCAGUAGGGAAUCUUGCGCAAUGGGCGAAAGCCUGAUGGAGCCACGCCGCGUGAGUGAUGAAGGUCUUCGGAUCGUAAAACUCUGUUAUUAGGGAAGAAAACAUGUGUAAGUAACUGUGCACAUCUUGACGGUACCUGAACAGAAAGCCACGGCUAACUACGUG